GAUGAACGCUAGCGGCAGGCCUAACACAUGCAAGUCGAGGGGUAGAGGGGAGCUUGCUCUCCUUGAGACCGGCGGACGGGUGAGUAGCGCGUAUGGAAUCUGCCUUGUACAGGGGAAUAGCCCAGGGAAACUUGGAUUAAUGCCCCAUAGUGUUGAGGGCGGCAUUGUUCUUCAACUAAAGAUUUAUCGGUACAAGAUGACCAUGCGUCCCAUUAGCUUGUUGGUGUGGUAACGGCACACCAAGGCUACGAUGGGUAGGGGCCCUGAGAGGGGGAUCCCCCACACUGGUACUGAGACACGGACCAG
rnacentral:rRNA from 1 species